CAGCAGCCGCGGUAAUACGUAGGUCCCGAGCGUUGUCCGGAUUUAUUGGGCGUAAAGCGGGCGCAGGCGGUUAGAUAAGUCUGAAGUUAAAGGCUGUGGCUUAACCAUAGUACGCUUUGGAAACUGUUUAACUUGAGUGCAAGAGGGGAGAGUGGAAUUCCAUGUGUAGCGGUGAAAUGCGUAGAUAUAUGGAGGAACACCGGUGGCGAAAGCGGCUCUCUGGCUUGUAACUGACGCUGAGGCUCGAAAGCGUGGGGAGCAAACAGGAUUAGAUACCCCAGUAGUCCCUGUCUCUUAUACA
rnacentral:rRNA from 1 species